UACGGGACGUUUCCGUGACUGGGCUUGUCUGCACCAUGUCGGUGUGAGUGCAGGAGCCGAGCAAUAACGACAGCAUCGACUGCGCCCGGAGAAUGUCUGGACGGUCUUUCAAGGACGCGGGUUCAAUUCCCGCCAUCUCCACUA
rnacentral:tmRNA from 1 species